rnacentral:tRNA from 1 species
GUCAAUAUGUCCGAGUGGUUAAGGAGAUAGACUUGAAGUCUAUUAGGUUUUGCCUGCGCAGGUUCGAAUCCUGCUGUUGACG